GCAAUCUUCAAUUUUUUUUUCAUUUUAAAUAUUACAGGAUGACAAAGGCUAAAGGACUUUCAAAAGUCUGAUGUCAACCAGUGGGGAUCUGAACUGCACUUGGGUGGAACUUGGUCUUUGUGACUCACUGAAAAGGAAGCAACUGCUCUUUCUCAUUGCCACAGAGAGAACUGAAUCUUCACAGCUAAGAUUGGAAACACAUCCCUCUCUCUGGGGCUCUUCUUCAGACCCAAGAAUCUUGUAAGGCAAGUCCUUGUGGCCCAAUCCUGAACAUUCAGAACUUCCUCUGAAAUCAACGGGACUUUUGAAUUGCCAAGGAAUAUGGGUCUGGAUCCUUAUUU
rnacentral:lncRNA from 1 species